GGUCCUCUGACAGGAGAGACCAAAGACAUGGCAGGCAGGAAAUUCCAGGACCCAUUAGAAAUCAUGUGGCAAAUGCUGAAGGAAUGUCUGCAGAGGAGGCAAGAAAUGAAAGGAGAGCCUGUGCAGAAGGAAGCUUUUCGUGGAGGAAGCAGUGGUUCCGUGGCAGCCUCUGCUGCAGGUAGAGAGGCCAUGCCAGGCACAGACACAGGAGACUGGAAUCGUGACAUGGGUUUUCAGGAAGUCCUGAUGAAGGAUGGUUUGAAGUUCCUGGAGGAUGCUGGAG